rnacentral:rRNA from 1 species
AUUGAACGCUGGCGGCAGGCCUAACACAUGCCAGUCGAGCGGAUGAAGGGAGCUUGCUCCUGGAUUCAGCGGCGGACGGGUGAGUAAUGCCUAGGAAUCUGCCUGGUAGUGGGGGAUAACGUCCGGAAACGGGCGCUAAUACCGCAUACGUCCUGAGGGAGAAAGUGGGGGAUCUUCGGACCUCACGCUAUCAGAUGAGCCUAGGUCGGAUUAGCUAGUUGGUGGGAUAAAGGCCUACCAAGGCGACGAUCCGUAACUGGUCUGAGAGGAUGAUCAGUCACACUGGAACUGAGACACGGUCCAGACUCCUACGGGAGGCAGCAGUGGGGAAUAUUGGACAAUGGGCGAAAGCCUGAUCCAGCCAUGCCGCGUGUGUGAAGAAGGUCUUCGGAUUGUAAAGCACUUUAAGUUGGGAGGAAGGGCAGUAAGUUAAUACCUUGCUGUUUUGACGUUACCAACAGAAUAAGCACCGGCUAACUUCGUG